CGAGAUCAUGGUCAACGGCCCGGACACCGUCUUCGUCGAGCGGAACGGGCGGCUGGUCCGCACCUCGGCGCGGUUCGCGUCCGAGGACCACGU
rnacentral:tRNA from 1 species